AUGCCGCCCGCCGCCAUGGCGCCGCCGCAGGCCCCCUCCGCAGGGGAUCCGCUCUACGACGAGCUCUGGCACGCCUGCGCCGGCCCGCUCGUCACCGUCCCGCGCGUCGGGGACCUCGUCUUCUACUUCCCGCAGGGCCACAUCGAGCAGGUGGAGGCCUCCAUGAACCAGGUCGCCGGCAACCAGAUGCGCCUCUACGAUCUGCCCUCCAAGCUGCUCUGCCGGGUCAUCAACGUCGAGCUCAAGGCGGAGGCGGACACCGACGAGGUCUACGCGCAGGUCAUGCUCAUGCCGGAGCCCGAACAAAAUGAGAUGGCGGUGGACAAGUCGACCUCAACGACGGGCGCCACGCCUCCGAGGCCGGCAGUACGGUCCUUCUGCAAGACUCUGACGGCAUCCGACACCAGCACGCAUGGCGGUUUCUCCGUGCUGCGCCGCCACGCUGACGAGUGCCUCCCUCCCCUGGACAUGACCCAGUCGCCUCCAACACAAGAGCUUGUGGCAAAGGAUCUGCAUGGCAUGGACUGGCGCUUCCGCCACAUCUUCCGUGGGCAACCUAGGAGGCAUCUCCUUCAGAGCGGUUGGAGUGUGUUUGUCAGUUCCAAAAGGCUUGUAGCCGGGGAUGCCUUCAUUUUCCUCAGAGGAGAGAGUGGUGAGCUUCGUGUUGGUGUUAGGAGGGCUAUGAGACAGCUGCCCAACGUGCCUUCUUCAGUCAUAUCUAGUCAUAGCAUGCACCUUGGAGUCCUUGCAACUGCAUGGCACGCCAUCAACACGAAAAGCAUGUUCACUGUCUACUACAAACCUAGAACGAGCCCUUCAGAGUUCAUUAUACCAUAUGAUCAAUAUAUGGAGUCUGUGAAAAACAAUUAUUCAAUUGGGAUGAGAUUCAGGAUGAGGUUUGAAGGCGAAGAGGCACCAGAGCAGAGGUUUACUGGUACUAUAGUUGGCAGUGAAAAUCUUGACCAAUUGUGGCCUGAAUCAAACUGGAGAUCCCUUAAGGUGCGUUGGGAUGAGCCGUCAACUAUUCCUCGUCCAGAUAGAGUCUCUCCUUGGAAAAUAGAGCCUGCUUCAUCACCUCCUGUUAACCCGCUUCCUCUUUCUCGUGUCAAAAGACCUAGACCAAAUGUUCCUCCAGUUUCUCCUGAAUCAUCUGUUCUCACAAAAGAAGGUGCAACUAAGAUUGAUAUGGAUUCUGCUCAAGCACAACAAAGAAAUCAAAAUAACAUGGUCUUGCAAGGUCAAGAGCACAUGACCUUGAGGACCAACAACCUGACUGCCAGCAAUGACUCUGAUGCUACUGUUCAGAAGCCUAUGAUGUGGUCUCCAUCCCCCAACAUCGGAAAAAACCAUGCAUCCGCGUUUCAGCAGAGGCCCUCUAUGGAUAAUUGGAUGCAGCUGGGAAGAUGUGAUGCUAGUUCUGGUGCUCAAUCUUUUGGUGAUUCCCAGGGCUUCUUCAUGCAGACCUUUGAUGAGGCUCCUAAUCGUCAUGGCUCAUUCAAGAACCAGUUCCAGGAUCACAGUUCUGCUCGUCACUUCUCAGACCCGUACACAAAGAUGCAGACAGAGGCCAAUGAGUUUCAUUUCUGGAAUAGCCAAAGCACCGUGUACGGUAAUCCAAGAGAUCAGUCACAAGGUUUCAGAUUUGAAGAGCACCCAUCAAAUUGGUUAAGGCAGCAGCAGUUCUCCCCGGUUGAACAACCCCGAGUGAUCCGGCCUCACGCAUCAAUAGCUCCUGUUGACUUGGAGAAAGCAAGAGAAGGCAGUGGUUUCAAGAUUUUUGGGUUUAAAGUUGAUACUACCAGCACCCCUUCUAACCAUUUGAGCUCCUCAAUGGCUGCAAUCCACGAGCCUGUGCUACAAAUUCAAGCAUCCGCAUCGUUAACUCAACUGCAGCAUACACACGCUGAUUGUAUUCCUGAGCUGUCCGUAAGCACUGCUGGGACUACUGAGAAUGAAAAAAGCAUUCAGCAAGCUCCUCACAGUUCGAAAGACGUCCAAAGCAAGUCCCAUGGUGCUUCCACAAGGAGUUGCACAAAGGUUCACAAGCAAGGUGUUGCACUUGGUAGAUCAGUGGAUCUGUCAAAGUUUGGUGACUAUGACGAACUCACAGCUGAGCUAGACAGGAUGUUUGAGUUUGAUGGUGAACUGAUGUCUUCAAACAAAGAUUGGCAGAUUGUGUAUACUGAUCCUGAGGGUGACAUGAUGCUGGUGGGAGAUGAUCCAUGGGAGGAGUUCUGCAACAUAGUGCGCAAGAUCUUUAUCUACACCAAGGAGGAGGUCCAGAAGAUGAACUCGAAAUCAUCUGCCCCAAGAAAGGAAGAAGGUUCUGGAGAUGCUGAUGGCGCAAACGAGAAGGCUCAUCUCGCCACGUCAAGCCAUUUAGAUAACUAG
rnacentral:rRNA from 1 species